CCCUACGGGAGGCAGCAGUGAGGAAUAUUGGUCAAUGGGCGGAAGCCUGAACCAGCCAAGUCGCGUGAGGGAAUAAGGCCCUACGGGUCGUAAACCUCUUUUGCCGGGGAGCAAGGGCCGGGACGCGUCCCGGCCCGGAGAGUACCCGGAGAAAAAGCAUCGGCUAACUCCGUGCCAGCAGCCGCGGUAAUACGGAGGAUGCGAGCGUUAUCCGGACUUAUUGGGUUUAAAGGGUGCGUAGGCAGGCUUGCAAGUCAGCGGUCAAAUUGCGGGGCUCAACCCCGUACUGCCGUUGAAACUGCAUC
rnacentral:rRNA from 1 species